rnacentral:rRNA from 1 species
UACGAAGGGAGCUAGCGUUGUUCGGAAUCACUGGGCGUAAAGCGCACGUAGGCGGAUGUGUCAGUCAGGGGUGAAAUCCCGGAGCUCAACUUCGGAACUGCCUUUGAUACAGCACGUCUUGAGUCCGGAAGAGGUGGGUGGAAUUCCUAGUGUAGAGGUGAAAUUCGUAGAUAUUCGCAAGAACCCCAGUGGCGAAGGCGGCUCACUGGCCCGGUACUGACGCUGAGGUGCGAAAGCGUGGGGAGCAAACAGG